AUUUCUCUCACGAUAGUGAAUAUAUUUAUACUCAAGGUUCAUUUUAAUUAGUAAAUCAAGGUUAAUUGAAGGAGCUGCUCUUUCUGAGCAUAAAGCACAUAAAAACAGUGACACGGCAGUUAGUAAUUAAUUUCUUCAGCUCGCUGACAGCCGGCAUCCACUCUACUGAAGUGCCUUUAGGCAAGACAAGCUACAGGUCAGCUCUAUCUGACUCUGCGGAAGGAUAAAUGCAUCCUUUGGUUACUGAUUCAAAAAAUGCUGCAGGGAUCAGCUGUUGCCUCGUGCCCUCGGUGACCCGGGCUGAUUGCUUAGCGGGGCGGUUAAUCAGUCAAAAUGAAACUCAGCAGUGACAGGGAGGUCAAAGGCCAGAGUCACAGAUCAGUAGCCGUGCAGCUGGCGACGAUUCAGCGUGUUGCUCAAGGACACUUCAGCAGGAUGGAUGAGUGCAGACAAGCAGGGCUUGAACUUGAGUCCUUCAGUUAAAAGACUCUCUCCCUCUACAGCACCCUGCUGUCAGCUUUCAAAGGAAGCAGCCAUUUGUUAUUCGCAGUUUGCUCUCUUAAAGUCGCACUUAGUGACUUCCUACACUGACAGCUCUGAAAGGCUGGAAAACAGCAGAGAGCCUGUAAUGCAACACUUGUUAAACUGUGCUCAUUAGCAGGUCUGUGAUGCUUUAGACAACAAAGAUAAAAAAAAAUACAUACAAUGUUGGAGAGUGCAGAUGUUCUGAAUAAAGCACCGGCUUCAUGCUAA